CAAAGUGUAGCUUAUUAUAAAGCACCUGGCCUACACCCAGAAGAUUCCAGUAUAUAAAUGGCCACUUUGA
rnacentral:tRNA from 1 species